GGUCAAGCAAAUAAGCGCACACGGUGGAUGCCUUGGCGAUAAGAGGCGAUGAAGGACGUGGUAGUCUGCGAUAAGCCUCGGCGAGCUGACAAACUAGCUUUGACCCGGGGAUUUCCGAAUGGGGAAACCCACCCGCUUUGCGGGUAUCUUGCGCUGAAUACAUAGGCGCAAGAGGCGAACCCGGGGAACUGAAACAUCUAAGUACCCGGAGGAAAAGAAAUCAACCGAGAUUCCCCCAGUAGCGGCGAGCGAACGGGGAACAGCCCUUAAGCUUUGCAAGUUCUAGUGGAAUGUUCUGGAAAGUUCGGCCAUAGACGGUGACAGCCCCGUACACGAAAGGGCUUGCAAAAGUGAAAUCGAGUAGGACGGAGCACGAGAAACUUUGUCUGAACAUGGGGGGACCAUCCUCCAAGGCUAAAUACUCCUUAUCGACCGAUAGUGAACCAGUACCGUGAGGGAAAGGCGAAAAGAACCCCUGUUAGGGGAGUGAAACAGAACCUGAAACCGUGUGCGUACAAGCAGUGGGAGCCCGUUUUCGAACGGGUGACUGCGUACCUUUUGUAUAAUGGGUCAGCGACUUACAUUUUGUAGCAAGGUUAACCGCAUAGGGGAGCCGCAGAGAAAUCGAGUCUUAAUAGGGCGCUUAGUUGCAGGAUGUAGACCCGAAACCGGGCGAUCUAGCCAUGGCCAGGUUGAAGGUCGGGUAAUGCCGACUGGAGGACCGAACCAACUUAUGUUGAAAAAUGAGUGGAUGAGCUGUGGCUAGGAGUGAAAGGCUAACCAAGCCCGGAGAUAGCUGGUUCUCCCCGAAAACUAUUUAGGUAGUGCCUCGUGUUUCACUUCCGGGGGUAGAGCACUGUAAUGGCUAGGGCCGCAUCUCGCGGUACCAACCCAUUGCAAACUCCGAAUACCGGAAAGUGCAAUCACGGGAGACAGACGGCGGGAGAUAAGUUUCGUCGUCGAAAGGGAAACAGCCCAGACCGCCGGCUAAGGUCCCCAAACACGUCUCAGUGGGAAACGAUGUGGGAAGUCUCAGACAGCCAGGAUGUUGGCUUAGAAGCAGCCAUCAUUUAAAGAAAGCGUAACAGCUCACUGGUCGAGUCGUCCUGCGCGGAAGAUAUACCGGGGCUCAAGACGUGUACCGAAGCCGCGGGUGCGUGCAUUCUUCGGAGUGCGCGCACGGUAGGGGAGCGUUCCGUAGCCCGUUGAAGGUGUGCCGUGAGGCAUGCUGGAGGCAUCGGAAGUGAGAAUGCUGACAUGAGUAGCGACAAUGCGGGUGAGAGGCCCGCACGCCGAAAGCCCAAGGUUUCCUGCGCAACGCUAAUCGGCGCAGGGUGAGUCGACCCCUAAGGCGAGGCCGAAAGGCGUAGUCGAUGGGAAUCAGGUUAAUAUUCCUGAACCGAAUAUAACUGCGACGGGGUGACGGAGAAGGCUAGGUCGGCCGGGUGUCGGAUAUCCCGGUUUAAGCGUGUAGGUUGGGAGCCCAGGAAAAUCCGGGCUUCCUUAAGACUGAGACGUGACGACGAGCGCCCUAACGGGCGCGAAGCGAUUGAUGCCAUGCUUCCAGGAAAACCCUCUAAGCUUCAGGUUGUAUUCGAUCGUACCCCAAACCGACACAGGUGGGCGGGGAGAGAAUCCCAAGGCGUUGAGAGAACUCUGGUGAAGGAACUCGGCAAAAUGACACCGUAACUUCGGGAGAAGGUGUGCCUCCGGUAGGUGAAGGGCUUCGCGCCCGGAGCCGAUGGGGGUUGCAACAAAGAGGUGGCUGCGACUGUUUACUAAAAACAUAGCACUCUGCAAACUCGCAAGAGGAAGUAUAGGGUGUGACGCCUGCCCGGUGCCGGAAGGUUAAGUGAUGGGGUUAGCCCUUGGGCGAAGCUCUUGAUCGAAGCCCCGGUGAACGGCGGCCGUAACUAUAACGGUCCUAAGGUAGCGAAAUUCCUUGUCGGGUAAGUUCCGACCUGCACGAAUGGCGUAACGAUGGCCACACUGUCUCCACCAGAGGCUCAGCGAAAUUGAACUCGCUGUGAAGAUGCAGCGUACCCGCGGCUAGACGGAAAGACCCCGUGAACCUUUACUACAGCUUCACACUGGACUUUGAGCACGCAUGUGCAGGAUAGGUGGAAGGCUUUGAAGCGGAGACGCCAGUCUUCGUGGAGCCAACCUUGAGAUACCACCCUUGCUUGUUUGGGGCCCUAACCGAGGCCCGUGAUCCGGGUCCGGGACCAUGUGUGGCGGGUAGUUUGACUGGGGCGGUCUCCUCCCAAAGAGUAACGGAGGAGCGCGAAGGUGCUCUAAGUGCGGUCGGAAAUCGCACGGCUAGUGCAAAGGCACAAGAGCGCUUGACUGCGAGACAGACACGUCGAGCAGGUGCGAAAGCAGGUCUUAGUGAUCCGGUGGUUCUGUAUGGAAGGGCCAUCGCUCAACGGAUAAAAGGUACUCCGGGGAUAACAGGCUGAUACCGCCCAAGAGUUCACAUCGACGGCGGUGUUUGGCACCUCGAUGUCGGCUCAUCACAUCCUGGGGCUGUAGCCGGUCCCAAGGGUAUGGCUGUUCGCCAUUUAAAGUGGUACGCGAGCUGGGUUUAGAACGUCGUGAGACAGUUUGGUCCCUAUCUGCCGUGGGCGCCGGAGACUUGAGAGGAGCUGCUCCCAGUACGAGAGGACCGGAGUGGACGUACCUCUGGUGUUCCGGUUGUGAUGCCAAUCGCAUUGCCGGGUAGCUAUGUACGGACGGGAUAACCGCUGAAAGCAUCUAAGCGGGAAGCCCCCCUCGAGAUUAGGUCUCCCCGGGGCCUUGCGCCCCCUGAAGGGUCGUUGAAGACUACAACGUUGAUAGGCUGGGUGUGGAAGUUCAGCAAUGAAUGAAGCUAACCAGUACUAAUUGCCCGUGCGGCUUGACCAU
rnacentral:rRNA from 1 species